AUGGGUGAUGUUGAGAAGAGCAAGAAGAUUUUUGUUCAGAAGUGUUCCUAGGGCCAUAUUGUGGAGAAGGGAGGCAAGCGCAAGACUGGGGCAAAUCUCCAUGGGUUUAUUUGGGCGAAAGACAGGUCAGGCCCCUGGAUUUUCUUACACAGAUGCCAACAAGAACAAAGGCAUCACCUAGGGAGAGUAGAUACUGAUGAGUAUUUGGAGAAUCCCAAGAAGUACAUCCCUGGAGCAAAAAUGGUCUCCACUGGCAUUUAGAAGACAGGGGAAAGAGGAGACUUGAUAACUUAUCUCAAAAAAGCGACUAAGGAGUAAUAGUUGGCCAUUGCCUUAUUUAUUACAAAACAAAAAUGUCUCAUGACUUUUUUUUUUAUGUGUACCACAUUUAAAUUGAUCUCAUAUACCAGAAUUCGGAUCAUGAAUGGCUGAUCGAAUAUUUCUUUUGGACAGUCCUGAUUUAAAUAAAAUUGGCUUGUGGUUAAAUGAAUAUGAUCAGCUUUUUGAACUUUGAUAGUAAGUCUGGUUCAGCAAGUGCUGCCACUGUUUUCCCCUCCUAAAAAUAUGAUUGGAAUUGACUAGUAAUGUUCAGCUUUUCACGGAGAUGGUAACUGCCAUCUCUAAACUUAGAGGAGAUUGGUUUUGUAUUUAGAUUUAUAUAACUAGUUAUAUUGAUAUAUUUAAAUACUGAGGAAAUCCCUUCACUGUCUCAGAACAGCAAGACUCAGCUGUGUUUCAAGUUGUGUUCAUUAGCCUGUUAAAGGCAAGGGUUGAAGAUAAGCUCGCAGUGUCCACUUUAUCUUUUUGGUCUUAACUAUGCCAAUUUAAUUAAAAUUCCCUGCGUCUAAAAUGUUGCCUUUUGCUUAAUGAAAGGCAUUUUAGUGUGGUUAUGUAUAAUGUUAAAUAAAGAAUACUUA